GGUUUUUAUGUCACAGUCACCAUUGUGACUGUCACUAUGGUUAGUGGUUUUCAUUUCCCCCUGUCCUGUCCUCAGCACAGCAAGAAUAUUUUUGAGGAAGCACCCCGAUGUCUUUCUGGCAAACCCCAUUCUGCCUUGCACUUUAAAUACAUCACAUCGCUUUCUUUGGCUUUUACCAGUGUGGCUAUGCAGAUCCCAACGACCUGAGUGACACAGACUGGAGCGUCUCCUUGUUUUUUCUCACUUCCUGUUCCUAUUUCCAUGACAUGGCUACUGAAUCCCCCUCAAUGACGUGUCUCCGUGUCUUUUAUGACAGCCUGCCUUCGACUACUUGACAGCAGUAUUAUACUCACCUGAAGAGGUGAAGGGCACUUUCUUCUCCACACUGUCAUCCUGUAACCACCGUUUCUUCACUGUGGCCUUCACUGAGACACCGGCAAACAGUCAUGAGACAGCUGCACUCCUAACUUUGCCCACCAUCCUUGAAAAGGCAGAAGACCAGCGCAUAGAGCAGGCGAAGAAGAAAGCCAUGUGAAAGGUGUGGAAUUGCCCACCAAAAUGAGUUUGGAGACAGUUCAAAGGCGUGCACAUCUGUUCCAGCAUUCAGUUGGUAAGCACCUUGGAUGUGAA